CACGAAGUUAGCCGGGGCUUCUUCUCACGUUACCGUCAUCAUCGUCACGUGCGAAAGAGCUUUACAACCCGAAGGCCUUCAUCACUCACGCGGCAUGGCUGGAUCAGGCUUGCGCCCAUUGUCCAAUAUUCCCCACUGCUGCCUCCCGUAGGAGUCUGGGCCGUGUCUCAGUCCCAGUGUGGCUGAUCAUCCUCUCAGACCAGCUACUGAUCGUCGGCUUGGUAGGCCAUUACCCCACCAACUACCUAAUCAGACGCGGGCUGCUCCUUUGGCGAUAAAUCUUUCCCCCGCAGGGGACAUCCGGUAUUAGCGUCCGUUUCCAGACGUUAUUCCGAACCAAAGGGCACAUUCCCACGUGUUACUCACCCGUGCGCCACUCAUCUUGCGAUGCGUUCGACUUGCAUGUGUUAGGCCUGCCGCCAGCGUUCGUUCUGAGCCAGGAUCAAACUCU
rnacentral:rRNA from 1 species